CAGUCGACGGCAGCGCGGGGCAACCUGGCGGCGAGUGGCGAACGGGUGAGUAAUAUAUCGGAACGUGCCCUGGAGUGGGGGAUAACGCAGCGAAAGUUGCGCUAAUACCGCAUACGAUCUAAGGAUGAAAGCGGGGGAUUCGCAAGAACCUCGUGCUCCUGGAGCGGCCGAUAUCUGAUUAGCUAGUUGGUGGGGUAAAGGCCUACCAAGGCAUCGAUCAGUAGCUGGUCUGAGAGGACGACCAGCCACACUGGAACUGAGACACGGUCCAGACUCCUACGGGAGGCAGCAGUGGGGAACUUUGGACAAUGGGCGAAAGCCUGAUCCAGCAAUGCCGCGUGCAGGAAGAAGGCCUUCGGGUUGUAAACUGCUUUUGUACGGAACGAAAAGGUCUGCCCUAAUACGGCGGGCCCAUGACGGUACCGUAAGAAUAAGCACCGGCUAACUACGUGCCAGCAGCCGCGGUAAUACGUAGGGUGCGAGCGUUAAUCGGAAUUACUGGGCGUAAAGCGUGCGCAGGCGGUGAUGUAAGACAGUUGUGAAAUCCCCGGGCUCAACCUGGGAAUUGCAUCUGUGACUGCAUCGCUAGAGUACGGUAGAGGGGGAUGGAAUUCCGCGUGUAGCAGUGAAAUGCGUAGAUAUGCGGAGGAACACCGAUGGCGAAGGCAAUCCCCUGGACCUGUACUGACGCUCAUGCACGAAAGCGUGG
rnacentral:rRNA from 1 species